rnacentral:lncRNA from 1 species
UUCUUCGUUUGAUCCCUUUCUAAACAGUAAUAUCUCCCAAAUCAUUUUUUUUUUCAUUUAAUCAAAAAUUAUAAUUUUUCUACAGAGACCAAAUCUAGAUAAUUUACCGUCGGCCAUUCCACAGAUUAGUGAGAUUGUCACCACGCCGGAGCCUGUUGUGGUCACUGAUUUUGACAUCAAAUCAGAGUCUGGCUGAAAUGAAUCUCAAGAAGAAGGAGAGGAGAUCGAUGGACCACCCUCCCGCCGAAAAUAGUUCGAUAUUGUGUAAGCCCCACACACGCUAGAGAGCUGGAUGAAAAAUGCAAGGUAAGUGGUAGCUGUUACCAAAAGAGUUGUUGAUAUUUGGAGACCAAUUUGGUUCGCGUUAUCCAAGCGUAUUAGGUGUUACUCAUGCGUAGUAAUUGUUACCACAAGAGUUAGUUGCUUUUGUUGCUCUUGUGAUUGUACGUAUAGGCAGUUGUUUAGCUAUAGUAACCUUUGCAAAUUUUCUGUUACUCCGAGUUAGUAGUGAACUAGUGCAUUGUUGGUCGUUACAAUGCGUGUUAGUUGUUACCAAAAGAGUUAUUGAUAUUAGAGACCCUUUUGGUUCUCAAGUUACCCAAGCAUAGUAGGUGUUACUCAUGCGUGUUAACUGUUACCACAAGAAUUAGUUGCUUUUGUUUCUCUUAUAGUUGUACGUAUAGGCAACUGUUGAGCUAGCCACCUUUGCAAAGUUUUUGUUACUCCGAGUUAGCGGCCAACUAGUGGGUUAUUAGUCGUUCCAAUGCAUAUUAAUUGUUACCAAAAGAGUUGUUGAUACUGGAGACCCUUUUGGUUUUGACGUUAUCCAAACGUAAUAGGUGUUACCCCUGCGUAUUAACUGGUACCAUAAGAGUUAGUUGUGCUGUUGUCCAUGUGGUUGUACAUAUAGGCAGCUGUUUAGAUACAGUCACCUUUGCAGAGUUUCUGUUACUCCAAGUUAGUAGCUAACUAGUGGAUUGUUGGUCGUUACAGUGCGUGUUAAUUGUUACCAUCUUUUUUUAUAUCUAACUAACCAGGAAAAAGCCAUAUGUAUAUUAUCUAAUGUUUUGUGACUACACUAAAGGCUGAGAUGAUUUCAAUGGUAGUGGAUGCAACACAUUCUCAGAAGUGCUGACGUGAGAAGACAAGGUUGAUGAGGAACAUGUUGGCAACCUUGUACGACUAAUCGAGCAAGGUCAUGUGUUCAACAAGUCUAUGUACGCUACACUUAGAUUUGCUCCGAAUUUUUCUUUGAUUUUCCAGUGUACCUUACACAAUAACCUAACAAAACGAGUGCAUAGGGGAGAUAAUAGUUGCACAGCUAUUUUAGAACAGUAACCUAGGAUUGUACUUGCGAAGAUCCACCGAAUCAAAAAGUGUUCACUUUUCUCCUUACGUUUCUAGACUGUAGGGGUAAAAGGGGAAUAUGGGACACAAUUAGCUACAGUCCGAUGGAUUCUUUUUGCUUUUGGAUACUUUCUUAAUUUUGCACAUAUUUGGGUAUAUUGAUCCAAUUGUUUUUUUUUUAUUUAAUUAAAAAUAUGUAUUAUAGAGAAACGGAAGCAAAAAAGGGAUUACAAAGAGA